GACAGAGGGUGCAACGUUGUUCGGAAUUACUGGGCGUAAAGCGCGCGUAGGCUGCUUGGAAAGUCGGAUGUGAAAGCCCUGGGCUCAACCUAGGAAGUGCAUUCGAAACUUCUGAGCUGGAGUGCUGGAGAGGAAGGCGGAAUUCUCGGUGCAGAGGUGAAAUUCGUAGAUAUCUGGAGGAACACCGGUGGCGAAGGCGGCGUUCUGGACUGCUACUGACACUGAUGAGCGAAAGCCAGGGGAGCAAACGGG
rnacentral:rRNA from 1 species